ensembl:lncRNA
CCCAGAGGCACGUUUGCACCAAGUUUUUGGGCCAGGGACAUCAAUGGUUGUAUUAGCUGCCCUCCACAUCACUAUGCUCCCACAGAGGGUCUGUCUGCCUGUCUGCCCUGUGGAUCCAGAGCUCGGCAGCCUCUACCCAGGCAGGAUAAAUGUAUAUGCCUAACAGAGGGCCAAGUCUUCCAAGCCAGCGAUGGGCAGUGCCAUUGUGCUUUGGGGUACCGCUCUACACAAAGUGGGGAUGCCUGUGAGUUAAAGAUAUAUGAGAUCUGCAAAGAUGGACAAGCACGGGACCAGUAUGGCAAAUGUUUGGAUCGCAGGCAGUGGAAACACCUUUGUUCUAAUGAGGUGUGUGCGUCUCCACAGCUGUAUGAGGGUUAUGAUGCCUCCCUGGGUCUGUGUGUCUGCAAAAGUCUGACUGAUCCAGGAAGAAGUGAGUGCUCAGGAUGGUGUGGAGACAGGAUGAGACCUGUGUUGCAGCUGGUGUGCAGUUCUGCUGUCCUUCAGCUGCUUUACACUGAGGCAAAUAGACAGGUUAGUGCAUCAGGAAGUGCGCUUUUAUCUAUCCUCAAACAUUGGGAGUCCCGAGGAAGGCUGAGGUGUGAGCGGCAUCAUGGGUUCUCCAGGCCUGUGUACACAAUACAGACAAGGGAAAGUGGCUUCUAUGGGUUUCUCCGCACUAUCCCAGUAGGAGUACGGAUUUUGAUCUUGGAAGGUGGUCAAGUGAGCGAUAGUUUUGCUGAGAUCAUGAACAGAAACAGCAUAGGAAACCAUACCUACAUGGAUACAGAAUUCUAUUGGUCCAUGGGUUCUGCUUCAAGAGGAGCCAGCAAUAGUGAAGCCACUCAAGUGAUGAACCCGAUCGCAUGCUUGCAUCUGGAUGAUAUCCUUUUAUUCACUGUGACCAGACACCAUUAUCCGCAGUAUGAUGUUGAGAACUUAUUCAACACAAAUGCUGCUUUUGACUGGGGAGUCUUUAGAGUAUUGGAACAAGAGCUAGCAAUGGCACAAUCUGCAAACUCCCUCUUUUCCGUUAGCUUUAGUGAGCCUGGUGUGUAUGUCAUCAAACUGAGCAGCAAUCAACACAAGCAUGUGUAUGUAAAGGUUUUGCCUGCUGGAGGAGAUUGCUAUGACAUCGGACCGUUCUUUCCUACUGAUCCACAUCACAUGAUUCGGAUGGGCAUAACCCUCCAACGCCAGCUCCUGCUGCGACCCGACUGGUGGGUGAUUGGAGGUCUCUUAGCUGGAGCUACAGUUGUGCUCUGCUUGUGUCUUGCAGUACUGAUCUUGUUCAGAGAGCACGGCUGGCCAGAGAAGCUGCCUUCUCAGGCCAGGUACCGGGAACUACAGCUCAAGUACAACAUGGAUGACUAUUCAUCAAAAGGUUCCAGGGUCAUAGCACUGAAAAAGAUGCACAGAAACUUAACGGUCGGGAUGAACGAGGAUCCAGUGCUGAGAGCUAUGGCUGUAACAUCAGACGAGUUCUGGGACUAUGAGAAUCAGGUGAACCUGGAGGCUUUCAGUUCCAGCACAUUCUAUGACAUCUUGCUUAAGCACAGUGUAUCUGUCACCACCCGGCUUGGGCAGUUCAAAGAAGAGGUGAAGCAGCUCUAUCAAGGGGUGCUGGAAAAGGUGCAGGGACUUCAACCUGGCCCAGGGGCUGUGGUGGUAGGGGGAAAGCUGGAGUGUUUGGAGAAACAAGUGGAGCAAGAGAUAGCACGCAGGAAAGUUCUGGGCACUCAGAUUUCCCAGCUGCUGGACAGCCAGCUUCAGAUCCUCCGGAAUGAGUCCCAGUCCCAGCAUGCCAUGCACAAGGCUUACUCAGCACUCCUCAGAGAAUGCUUUCGGUUGCUGAUGCUGGUUUCUGACAACCAGACCUCUCUCUGGAGCAAAUAUAUCCAGCAAUGUGUUAUGGAUAGAUUGCAUGUGCUGGCUGAGGAGAUGGCAGAGCUGGUCUCAAUGGAGGCGCAGAGGCAGGGUUGCUGGGGCAUGCUCAAACAGGGGACUGGAGCACGGCUACUAUGCCCCACUUCUGGAUCGGUCCUCACUAGGGAUGACAUUAUUGGGCUGUUUAUCAGCAGCAGGACCUGGAAAGCUGGUUGCCAUCACAGGCAAAAUGGAUGAAGCAAAUUGUUCAGCAGAACCUGUUCCAGUCAGCCACACAUCUACAAUUAGAGCGAAAAUACUUGUUCCAACAGCACAAUGAGCCAAAGCAUAGGGCAAAAACUACAAAGGAAUGGCUUGAAAAAAAAGGUCAUGUUUUAGAAUGGCCAAAUCAAAGCCCAAUUGAAAAUCUGUGGCAUGAACUGAAAAAGGCUGUUCACCAACAUUCUGGAUUCAAUUUAAGAGUUGGAGGAAAUGUGCAUUUAGGAAUGGAAGAAAAUGCCACAAUCAAAAUGUCCAAAGCUCCAAAAAGACAUAUCUGAGACAACUCAAAUCUGUACUUGCUGCAAAAGGACAAUGAUGGGGUGAAUACUUAUCAAUUAAGCAGUUUUUAGAUUAAAAAAAUUCAAAUAAUUCUGAGGGCAUCUAAAGUCUUUAUUUAAUUUUAUUUCUGUAAAGAAUCACUUCAAAAGGAGCAGUGGGAAAAAUCACAUUCUGAUUUGCUUUAAUUUGGUGUUGCAAUACAGCAAAAAGAGCCAUAACCACUACAGGGGGUGAAUACUUUUUUUGAGGCAGUCUAGACAUCUAUAGCUCUGACAUUACAGUGUGGGAGGGUGGUCAAAAUAUGCAUAUAUAUAUAUAUAUAUAUAU